CAGAAACCAGGUUUUGACCCACUUCUUCUCCAUCCCUCUACUGCUUUCUUUAAAGAUUCAAAAUGAGUCUCAGUGAGGCCUCAGAACGGUCAUCACAGAUAGGAAAUUCUCCAAUAAGGUCAACACGACAAGGACAUCUGCAGUGAUCUUUCUACAUGCUCUGCCAACUUGGCACUCAUCUAUAACUUUAGAAGAGGAGGCAGAACAUCAGUGAUGACUGCAAACAUAUGCUUGAUUUUUUUAAGCAACGGGAAAAUGAAAAAUGAACGGGAGGAGGGAACACUGCUGCCUUCUGAGGACAGAAGUCGUGUUUCAAGUAGUCAGGAGUGAUGGGGAGGUGGGACGAGAAUGAAGAUUUAGGGGAAUCUGAACAAAACAAGGUGGUGUAUGGGGAAUGAGGGCAGUCAGUAAAGCCAAAUAGUACCAGGUGGAAAAAUAGCCUAAAAGAAGUACAAGUCUAAUCAUCCAAAAAUUCUAAAGCAAAACUAAAACUCCAUAGUUCAGCAAAAGACACCCUUUCAGGUGUUUAGAAGACUGUGGUUAUCCGUUUAAAGAUGUUCCUCUCUCAAGGAAUCUCUGAGAACUAUAAAUGUGUUUAUUAAUUUUUAUUCUUUACCUAACUAGUAACCGAAAAUUAUAAACGUAAUCCACACUCACUGAAAAAAAUAAACCAAGCACAGAUUGGUUCAAAGUAAAACAUGACCAUCUUCCUGGCCGGGCACAGUGGCCCACACCUAUAAUCCCAGCACUUUGGGAGGUGGAGGCAGGGAAUCAUUUGAGGUCAGGAGUUCGAGACCACCCUGGCCAACAUGGUGAAACCCCGGCUCUACUAAAAAUACAAAAAUUAGCCAGGUGCCGUGGCGUUGGCCUGUAGUCCCAGCUACUCGGGAGGUUGAGGCAAGAGAGUCACUUGAACCCAGGAGGUGGAGGUUGCAGUGAGCUGAGAUCACACCACUGCACUCCAGCCUAGGUGACAAAGUGAGACUCCAUCUCCAAAAAAAAAAAAAAAGACCAUUUUCUAUGACUUCCUAGCCAAAUCUACACCUUGAGAAAAAAAACCCUAUCAAAAGUCUACUACUGGCCAGGUGCAGUGGCUCACGCCUGUAAUCCCAGCACUUUGGGAGGCCAAGGCGGGCAGAUCACCUGAGGUCAAGAGUUCGAGACCAGCCUGGCUAACAUGGUGAAACCCCGUCUAUACUAAAAAUACAAAAAUUAGCUGGGUGUGGUGGCGGGCGCCUGUAAUCCCAGCUACUCAGAAGGCUGAGGCAGGAGAAUCGCUUGAAUCUAGGAGGCAAAAGUUGCAGUGAGCCGAGAUCAUGCCACCGCACUGCAACCUGGGCGACAGGCAAGAGUCUAUCUCAAAAAAAAAAAAAAGAACACAACAGUCUACUACUAAUCUUUCUAUAUCUUUUCUUAUAAGCACACAGAUGCAGCUUAAAUAAUUAUUUUUAAUUUUAAAAAUAUAAAUCAAUGAAACAUCCUCACUUUGCAGUACGUCAUGUCCGAGGGGCUUGACCCCCUGGGUUUCGCCACAGCAUAAGAAACCUCCACUCAUCUGAUGGCGGUGAGCUGGGUUGCAACAAAGUACCGAAAGAGGAAAUAACAAGCCUCUCUAAGGACAGGCCUAAAACCCUCCGAAUGGGCUGUCACUGUGCGAUGAACAUCAGCCUCUUACUCAAUUGACAGGCCUUCCUCCGGCUAUAGGAUCUUGACUGUAAUUACAGGAAAAGCCAUACCAUAAAGAUGGGGGGAGGAGCUAAUUGACAAAACGCUCAAUGUGCUGACUCAAGGACCGAUGACCAAGCCUUAAAUUUAUUUUCCUCAAAAAAUGACUGAUAUGUUGUCCAUUAAGCCAGAACCAUGCAAAAUCCAGGAGAUGCAGUCUUUCCAAGGUACCUGUGUGGGGUUCACACAGAAGACUCCUGGACUUUAAAUGAAAAAGAUCUUUGGAAUGUUGCCUGCCAAAAACAGAAUUUCAAAAAGCACAGAAGUUUUAUUUGUUGCCGUUUUUAUUUCCUUUUGUUUGCUUAAUGCUUGUGUUUGUAUCAAUCUUAUUUAUUAAACCAUCCAAAAUGCAAAAGGAAAGACAUCACUUUGAGAUUUGAACCUCCUCUAAGCCUCUGGUUGCCAACUUUUUUACCUUCCAGUGUGGUUUGGCUCUGUGUCCCCACCCACGUCUCAGGUUGAAUUGUAAUCCCUGUGUUGGAGAAGGGACCUCACAAAGGUGUGUGCUGCAUAGGGGGCUAAUCUGUUCUCUGCAGGAACUAGACGGGAUCAUGAGGUGCUUUCUAAUCACCAUCCCCCUAGUGCUGUCUUGUGAAAGAGUUCUCCUGAGAUCUGUUUGUUUAAAAGCAUCUAGCACCUCCCUACUUUCUCUCUUCCUCCACUGCCAGCCAUGUGAAGACAUUACCUGCUUCCCCUUCACCUUCUGCCAUAACUGUAAGUUUCCUGAGGCCUCCCGAGAGGCAGAAGCCUAUACAGUCUGCAGAACCACGAGCCAACUAAACCUCCCUUCUUUAUAAAUUUCCCAGUCUCAGGAAUGUCUUUAUAGCAGUGUGAGAAUCGACUAAUACACUUUCCAAUUAUUAUAAACUUCUGGAAUCAUUGCUCUACCUAGUAGGGAAGUAUUACCAUUCAUCUAUCCAAAUGGAAAGAAAAUUGACGAUGAUCAGACAUCAUGCAGUGGGUAAGAACACGGACUCUACAGGCUCACACAACAAUUCCACCUCUAUGCUCUUGGCCUAGUUCCAUCUCUUCUGUAUGCCUCAGUUUUCUCAUCUCUACAAUGGGGGUAAGACUGUUGCGAGGGUUCCAUUUACGUAACGUAUUCAGAAGGAGUGCUGUGGAUUAUACGCUUCUAUACAUAUAAGUGCAUAGCAAGUACUAGAUACAUAUUAGCUCAUUAUUUUCAUUUUUGCGGUGUCAUUAAUCAGAACUUGUAAAAAGAAUAAUUCUCCUUAAACACCCCAAAGAUAUUUUAUAAAGAACUCAGUUGAUACUAGAAUGACCAAAUGCAAUUGCUCUUCUGUGCUGUUAAAGAAAAUCAUAAAUAAACACGUUAGUUACUCACACAGGUGGACCUAGCUUGAUGUGACUGAUAUGUUCCCAAAGCUUUGUGUGCAUAAAUCAAGCCACGCCUAAAUGAACUGGGUAAGCCUGUCGAUCUUGCAGUGAAUCCUUUCUUUCCAGGGAAGCUUCUGGACCCAAAUAAUGCUAGCCACCUGUCUUAAAUAAAGAUUCUUAACAUAGGACAUUUGUGUAUGUGUCUUCUGCUUAUGGUUAAAGAGUGAGUGUCAGGUCCAGGAAGACAAUGGAAGCAGGAAACAUGUAUUAUUCCAUUAAGUAACUGACAUGAAGUUUUUCGAGCCUUCUCCCAGGAAGAAGUCCAGGCUCCAACAGCAGUAAAUCACCAAACCUAAAAUUCCCCGAGUUGUGUGCUGUACAGGGGGCUAGUCUGUUCUCUGCAGGAAGAUCCAUGCUGUUUUCAUCAAAACGUCACUUUACCGGGAUGGUAAAGAGUAUCUCCCAUGCUGACUAGAGAUGAUUAGUAAUGACUACUUGGAGUAGUAUGCUAAGCAUGACUGAUUGAUUAGUGAUGUCUGUCGUGAAUAAAGGACUUUGGGAGUGCAUGCAUGCACACUGGGUACUUGCCGUCUCCAGGCUCAAGGGACACAAGUAUUCGGCCUAGCAGGCAUGAGGCCCCCAGAAAUUUGUCAAAAGGCUACAAAUGGUGGAAAACAAACACACCUUGAUGUGAUUAUGCAUAUUCUCUCAGAACCAAUUACUCCCUGAAUCAUAACUUUGAAAGUCAUUGAGAAUUAUCCAGAGCACAUAAGCACCAAAACAGAAUUUCUCAAAGCCAAUAUACGAAGAAAGUUUCAUCAUAAAUUCAGUCUUCUUUGAAAAGGAGGAGAAACAGUGAUUCCAUGAAUAUCUCCUAGUGGCAGGUCCUGGGCUUAGUCCCCAGGGUCAGGGACUGUCUCCUGCUCGCUGUUAUGGUCCUAGAUGUAGAUGAAUGAGUGUUCUGUACGUUACAUGCAAACAGUCCAAUGUGGAUUGGAUGCUGAAUAUGUUUGACUCCAGCACACUGGGAGGUCAGUUUUAUCCACAGAUGAGAAGGGAGGCUUAAUUGCUAGAGUCACAAAUGUGGUCCCUCCAGUGGACGAUGUCAUGGGUCAACUUACCCACUUUGCUAGCAGAUAGAAAAGAAGAAAAAAAUUAUACAGUUUGCACAUACACACCCGCCUUCGGAAUGAGUGUCUCGUCCAACCUCUACUGCCUUGUGGCUCAGGUUUCCCGCUUCAUCCUCCAUAAACUGUGCACACACUGUCACCUAAUGGAACUAUCUGCUUCCCUGUGUGUGGAAACGCCACUCAUCUUCCAGGUUGCUCAUUUACUUGUCAUGUGAAACCAGUUGGCUGGGAAUCUGAGAAUGCUAAGUUUCGAAAACCCAGAGACUAACCCCAAAGCACACCCCCACACCCCCACUCCCUUUGUCCAUUGAGAAUGGCAAGUGUCACCUUCCAUGCUUAAAAUGCACCUGGACCAGGGAGAAAGUCAGGUGAAGAUGUCCAUCAACAAGCAGCACCCUGGGCUGCAGAAUCUUGAUAAGGGUAAUGAAAAGAGGAGUAGAAGGCAAGGGAACGGCAAUGUGUAAAGGGGAGUCUUGGGCCACUGGAGGCAUCUGUGCCCCCCUCCUCUGCAAAUGAUAGUUAUUUAAAAUGACUUUAUAUGCUAUUUUCUCCUGGGGUUUCAAAUUCAGCUCCCAUCUCCCAGCUUACAAAUAAACUCCAGUUUUCAGUCAGUGAUUCCCAUUUUGAUGGGAUUCUGUAAUCACUCCCACAGGUACACAAUGCACCCUCUUAUAUACUGCAUUGAAAACAAGACACGGUAGCCAGGUGUGGUAGCGCACAACUGUAGUCCCAGCUACUCAGGAGGCUGAGGUAGGAGGAUCACUUGAACCUGGGAGGCGGAGGCUGCAGUGCACAGAGACUCUGCCACUGCACUCCAGCCUGGGUGACAGCAAAACCCUGUCUCAAAAAAAAGAACAAAGAAAACAACACAUCGAGUACCACUGGAGCUUAAAUACCCAUCAGUGUGGGGAAAGGGAGAGAAUUAAAUUCAAGAACUGUUCACUGAGCACCUAUUAGGUUGUCAGGCCAAGGUUAAACAGGGAAUAAAACUUGGUCCUUUCCCCAAGGGGCGUCUCAUCCAGGGGAAAAGAUGACCUUGUAACCAGACAGUCACGAUACAAAAGCACUCAUGGUGUAGCAGCUGACUGAGAGGGAAGGUGAUUAAUGGCCCAGGUGAGUAAAGGUCUGGGAAGGCUUUGUGGAAGAUAUGAGGCCAAGAGCUGGAUUUUGAAGGAUGGAGAGCCUUUUGCCAAUAGACAAGAAAGCACGAGCAUGGCAGGCAGCCUCGGGGAGAGGGCACAGCUGGCACAGAUGACUCAGCCUGGUGAGCUCAGUUCACUUUGGCUGAAGCAUGAAGUUGGCCAAGAGGGAGAGGUGGAAGGAAAGAAGGCUGGAGCGGUCACUCGGGGGCAGCUCAGGGGCUGGUGAGCCAAGCCGAGUUGCCCGUGAUGCCUCUUCCAUAUGAGCUCACUGCCAGUUUCAUUUUAUGAGCUCCUGCUAAUGAGUCCUGUUUUGCAGUAGAGCAAAUGGUGAUGGGUGAGCUUCUCGGAGCCAUUUCCUAGUCUAAGUAACGGACUGCUCUGCCUGGGGAAGAGAAGCCACGUUUGCUGGGUAAGGGGUGCUUGGUAAGGUGUAGCUGAAGACCACUGUGUAGAAAACAGGAGUCAAUGCAGUUUGCUGCAGGACGGAGAACUGAGGGCCAAAUGGUUCAACAUUCACGUGGGUGCUUUCCAAGUCAAAGAGGACAUCUGAGCAAUCAGAGGAUCGUUUGUUUCAUUUGGUCUCUGGGCCACAUCAAAAUGCCCUGUCUUCUUUCUCCUCCGUCCCACAACAAGCCAGAAGUCUGAAACUAGCCCAGCAUUGAAAACAACGCAUGUUCGUGACCUCCUUGUGAAAACCGUAAAUAGAUUUGCGGGAACUACAACAAUGAUCACAAGAGAAUUUCACCAAUUACGAGCACCAAAGGAGUCCAAAUCAAUGAAGACAAAGGUAACUGCAUAAACACAUGUGCACAUACAUGAAUAACACAUGAGGUCCCUUUAAAAUAGACUGAUUGUACCUGAAAGUUACUAAACGCUGAGUUAUUUGUGUGUUAAACAAUACUGUGCACUUCCAAAAGGCUUCCGUUGGUGCUUGGUUGAUGAUCAUGGGACCAUAUAUUAUCACCCAGCUAUUCACCUUGUACGUCCUUGAUAAGGAAAGGUCAACCCCAAGUAAAAGCCAACGCCACCACAACCAAAAAAAAAAAAAAAAUUUUUUCCCCAAUCUGAACAAAUCGUUUAGUGUUAAAAAUAAACAGAACUAGAAAUUGUCUCUAAUAAACUAAUAUUAGUCUCCCCAGAGGGUUAAUUAUGUCGCUCCGUAUUUUAAGAAGAAUGUAAAUUGCCAGUUUCAACAGAUGUUCUUUUAAAAGAAUUGGUUAUCUGGGAAAUGAUGGGUCUUUGUUAGAGCUUACCCCAGUGGAAUAUAAACAUUAAAAUCAUCCGGCUAUCUGUCAGACCCCUCCUCCUCCCACAACUGUUACCCAUACCAGUGAUACACCCUUUGCUUAUCAGCAGCUUUAGUGACAAGUGUUCCAGCCGGAACUGUGGUCCCAGAUUUCAGAUGACAUGUUAGGAGGGUUUCCAAACUCCCCUUGAGCCAUCCCAGUGAACCCAGAACGGCAUCUUGCCAUCAUGCCAGGGCCCAGCUCAGGCGCCCCACAGCCAUUUCCAUCCUCUUCUUUUACCCUGGAGAGCAAGACUAUCAGGUCACAAAGAAAUAGAGUUAGAAGGUUCUGGAAAUAGAAGCCCUGUCCAAAUUCAGUUUAAAUGCUCAAACAUGUAACAUUUGUGUUACGUACAUAUUUGAAAGCUGCUAAGGGGAGAAUGAAAACUGAAGUCUCACUGGGAAAGUGGUUAGAAAAAAAAAAGAGCUCACGAAUGUCCCUGCUGUUUUCUCUCAAAAGACAUUUUGUAGACACUGAAAUGUAUGUUAGCAGGUUCACAGUGAGAGCUUCCACACUCGGAUAUUUGGCCAAGUAAAGAGAGGAAAAAAAUCCUCAAUGUGGCAGUUCAUUAUUCCAAGCAGAGCGACCUCAGCUGACCUGGGGGUCUGGAGAGAACAUCUGUUCUUAUGUUACAGCUGGUGGUGGGUGUCUGGCUGCCAACCUCACUUGACCUAACUCUUCAUUAUCAUCCUGGUUAGACUCACUUCACAGAUAGGGAAACUGAGGCUGAGGGAGAUUAAUGACUCCUAUAAAAAACUUAACAGAACCUGCUUUCACUAUUGAUCUGCUAGUAACAAGCAUAAAAUCUCAUCUCAGCUAGAAAGGUAAGCAGAUAACUAUUGAUCUCCUGAAGUGUUUCUGAAAGGGCUGGCCCAGAGCAGGAUUUAGACACUCUGCAGAGACUGCGAAGUUCUGUGUUCUACAUGCAGGAGGCAACAAGGCAGCCUAGUGCCAUUAUCAGAAAGCACAUCCCAAAUGGCAGAAAGAACAAAAUAAUAGUGACAACAGAUGUGGCCCACUGAAAGCCUACUCUGAGAAACAGGCAUUGGGCAUGUUAUUUGACUCAAUCGUCCCACUGAUCUGCCAUAAUGAUAUCAUUAGACCUAUUCAACAGGUAAGGAAACUAAGACUCAGAAAGGUGAAGUCAGAUGCCCCAGCGUCACACAGUUCCUAAUGGCCCAUAAAGAAAAUUCCAGGUCUGCUUGACUCAGAGCCUACCUCCCCUCCCCUACAGCCACUGUCUCAGAUGACGCCUAAUGAGCUCAGAGCACUGACAUUGUAUAUCACAAGCAGCUCCACGGUCUCUCGGGUCAGCUACCUGAGGACCCAGGCUCCAGGUAGGGCCAAAAAGCAGUCAGUCUGCUCAUGUGCAGAUGCCACAAUGGUAAAUCCAGUUGAAAAAUCAGAAAGUCUUAUCCUUAAAGAGGGAAUCUCAGGAAGAGCCAAUCUCAGCACUCUUGGGUCCUAAAAAAGGGCUCAGGUGUACCACUGUGCAGGUUUUACACAAUUCAAUUACAGGAGGUGCCCUUUACCUAGACUAGAAAAUGAACUCAGCCACCUAGACAUAAGCUACACUGAGCCUAUUUCACUGCUGAGACAGGACUUGGAAGACUCACAGAAUAAUCCUGAAAUUCACAUCUGGACUAACUGCUAAGACUAUGCCAACUUCCAGCGUACCAGGAUAAAGAGCUUCCUCUAAACAAAGACCCAUCUUCCAUGUUCCCUCCAUCCCCAGCCAAAGGUAGCAGGAACCUUUCAAGUCCUCCAAAAUCUACAUUACCAAGUUUCCUGUGAGAUCCCUCCCUGCUCCACAGCUCAGAAAAUAGGCUGGAACCACAACAAGUAACAGCCUGAGAGAGAAGAGGUCCCAGUUCCACUUAUUUUAGAAGCCCCAUUUCUGAGGACUCCUGUACCUCUUUCGAAGCUUGGGGAAGGUGGGAUAAUGAUCCUAGGGUAGAAAUACUGCUUUUCUUUCUGCAGUCCAGCUUGCCUAGGCGGACAUUAAUUUGGUGACAUAAGGUUGCCUUAUGCCCUAUCCUAGUGUUGGGGGAUUGGUGGUUCCUGGAAGCCAGAGAAAAGGAGGGCUAAAAACAAUGAUGCAGUAAGCAGCUAAGAAUGUAGCUCUGGAACACUAGUUUCCAACCAGGGGCCAUUUUACUCCCCAGAAGGCCAGACAUUUGCCAACAUCUGGAGACAUGUUUUUAUUAUCCCUACUGGGAGAGAUGGUAUCUAAUGGCUAGAGGUCAGGGAUGUUACUAAACAUCUCCAAGAUACAGGACAGAUGCCCAGUACAAAUGACCCACCUUCCAAUAUUAACAGCACGAAGCCUCAACACCCUGAACCAGAGGAAGCAUCUGCAGUAAGUCCCAAAUACAUAACAGGGGAGCCAUGCCUCUCGCAAACCCUCAGUGUAAAAUGGUCCCGCUGUUGUAACACCAUGCAAAGACGGAACAUUAGUAAGAGACUCCCUUCAAACUUGUGGACUCAUCCUUAAUAGAUCUCAUUAGUUUGUAUUAGUAGAUGGGAUACGGAAUUGGGGAAAUAAUGCCCAGGGGCUCAACUCUGCUGAUGCAUCUACUUUUUCUGGGAGGAAAAUAACCAAAUCUCUGCUUUAGUCAUUCAGGGAAACCUAGCACCUGUCUACAGCAACAUGUUCAAGAUGGGGAGAAAAAAAAAGAAAAGGGAAAAAAAACUGAGAAAAAAGAUAAAUUAUUUAUCCAGCAUAAAUAUUAAAGAAAAUUGCAAAACAUAGUCUGAUGUCACCAUGCUGUUGUUAUAGAAUCAUCUCGUUAUAGCUUCUGGCAAAAUACUGUUGUCCUUAAUAUCACUACAACAGAAUCAUCUGGCAUGUACCAAGCAGGGUACAUGUGUCUGCUCGCUGUCGAGGACACUUAGCAGGAUGCGAAGCAGCUCAUCACACCCCAGCGGAAAAUUGUGCAGGGAUGCCCUGUUAGGAAUGAGCCUGCAUUAGGAAUAGAUCAUCAACUUCACCCGAACCCAAGGUGCAAUUUAAACCUGACAGACAAUGGUCGGGGGCGGUGGCUCAUGCCUGUAAUCCCAGCACUUUGGGAGGCCGAGGCGAGUGGAUCACGAAGUCAGGAGUUCAAGACCAGCCUGGCCAAGACAGUAAACCCUUAUCUCAACUGAAAAUACAAAAAUCAGCUGGGCAUGGUGGCAUGCACCUGUAAUCCCAGCUACGCGGGAGGCUAAGGCAGAGAAUUCCUUAAACCCAGGAGGCAGAGGCUGCAGUGAGCGGAGAUCACACCACUACACUCCAGCCUGGGCGACAGAGUGAGACUGUUUCAAAACAAAACAAAACAAAACAAAACAAAACAAAACUGGAAGUCAAUUAAACACACCCAGUAGUGUACAACAACCAGGUCCGACUGGCUUAAGAGAGCACACUGCUAAACUAUCAGGAACUUUAAGACCUAGUUGUUGGGCACACUCAUUAUUAAGUAUUAAAGUAGAUAAAUGUAUGAUUCAAUAAGCUAUAUUAAAAAGGUAAAACAUACUCAAAGCUCAAUACUUCUGAAUAAUCUUAGUAGAUGUGACUAUUAUCUAUGCUCAUGAGGUUAUUUAUGUCUAUUAGUCGGCAUAGUGCAAAUACUUUACAUACAUAAAAUGGUAUGGGACUACACAUCUCUUUCUAACUCCAAGUUCCAAGCUGCAACUUGAAAUCAGCCAAGGUGUGAGUAUUUACACCACAGUAAUCAGCAAAUACUACAAAACAGGGUUUGUUUCCCCUAGUUCCCGCCAACAGAGCAGGUUGUUCAACACUUACCGGCAUACCACCACACACCCCCUCACAUAGACACCAGGAAUAUGGUAACAGCAUUCACAAGGAAAUUUUGUUUUCAGAUAAAACAUCUACGAUUCAAAGUUAGCAAACUCUUUUCAGCAACUACAUGGACUCCUAGGUAACAGAGUCAUUUAAUAAAUCUGUACAAUAAUAAUUAAACACCAUAAAUAACGUAUCCAUGGAAGCUUCCUGGCUUGCCCUUUAGGCCUUUGUCGCCAAGUGAUCCAUGCUGACAUUCUGAAUAAGGCUCGCAAAAUAAGUGCAUCCAGGAGUGGCGGUGGAAAGUAGGUUUGCUCUCAAUAAUGUAUGAAGCCCCAUGCUGGGGAGAGGGAUCCUUGGAAAAGCGGCUCCGCGGCAAUCUGUUCUUUCAUCUGGAGCCAGCGUUCAAGCAAAGGUGCUGCCCCAAAUCAGAAGCACAAUUGCUCACUUGUGAGCAGAUGUCCUUCACGCGGCGGGCAGUGCUCUUUCAACACAGAGCUGAACAAAUGCGUGCUGUGAGACAGGCUCCCCUCCCCAUUACCCAAAGAACACAGUAUACAUUAAUUUAGUAUGUUGUGGAAUAACGUUUGAAAGGGGAGUUGGUGCAGUAGAAAAAUCACGCAGUGAGGCAAAAUAACUUUCCAACCAAACGGGAGGAAGAAAGAGAGUUUGGUUCCUAUGGAAGUUGAGGGGGAAAGAGUCUGAAAUAUCUUCAACCUCAAAAGAAACCCAAAACAGGGUUCCUUAGGGAGUCAAAAGGACCUCACUGGGCAGGCCCAACACAGAGCCAAAAUCGAACAUCAACCACCCAAAAGAUCAUUUUCAAUGAACAUGUAGUUUCAUUGAAAAUGUGCAUAGCUGGAGGAGGCUGUGCAUGUGUGAGGACAGGGAGUAUAUGAAACUCUACACUUCCCACUCAGUUUUGCUGUGAACUUAAAAUUACUGUAAAAAUAAACUUUAUUAAUUUUUUUUUUUAAAGUACAUGUAAACCUAAACCCUGUAGUCAGAUGAACUGUUUCCUUUCCGGCUGGGAAUCCCAGUUGGAAGGACUUCCAACAUUCAUCCUAGGGAGUUUCAUGGGGCAUCUUUGGUUCUAAGGGAACCUCAUCUAUAAGGUGUUAGUCAGCUCAUCAGAAGGCAGGGCAGAGCAGAGCGUGCCUUGCCAGGUACACAGGCUGUGUAGUACACAAACAGCCCGGAAAACCAGUGGAAAGACCUCCUCCCAGCCUUGAUGUAACUGGGACAGAAAUGGAGACAAAUGCAAUGGCACUUCACAUUCGCUUCCCCCCACCCCACCCAUCUUCCAGAACCUCGACUUCAGGACAGCUUCCGCAAACUCAAUCACUUCUUUCAGGCUGACACAAUUUGGUCCACUUCCUGUAUUUCAUUUUGGGAGAGAGAAUUAUUUUAUCUAGGAAAAGUAAAAUUAGCAACCUGCUUAGAGACUCCUGCCUUUAAAGCCCCACAUCCACUCAACUUCUACACACAAAUACUACCGUUUGCCACCUUGAUAAUUAUUAAAUUGUAACGUAAAACCCAACUUCUGCUUAAGUAUACGUGAUUAUUAGACUAUAAGUCAAUUGUGGAUAACACGCAGAUAUAAAUGCAGCUAAUAAGUCUUACUGUAAUGAUUAAUCAAUUUAUGAAUACAUUAUUUAAACUAAUAGCUCAGGUAGGGUAUCUUAAACAAGUUACAGAGUAUAUCGACCAAUUCAAAUACCAGCUGCUGGAUCAAUAGCAAACUGUAAGUAAACUCUGGGGAAUAGGUAUACUUGGAAAAAAAAAUCUGUGAACAAAAGGGUCUUAGAUGAAAAUAAUCUACAAUUUCAAUUUUUAAGACAAAUGUAUAGUACUUUAAUAUAUGCCAAGGCCUAAAGAGAAAGGUACAAAAGUAUUACUGCAAAUUUUGCUUCUAUUCCAGCCUAUGCAGUAAUAAUCAUUAAGAGCAGCUCCUACAAAUUCAUAUGUUUAUACAAAGCACUACAUACAUAUGCAAAAAGACAAUGUAUUCAAGUUAAUUUUGAUUCCUUCAAAAUUGAUAAAGUGGGUUCAUUUCAUUGCAAGGGAGCAUACUUAUCUAUAACUGACCCUUUAACAGAAAACAAAAAUUAUGUCUAAAAAGUAAGGUAAGCCAUUUUCCUGAAAGGGGCCCAUCUUUCAACAGACACACUAGGGGCCACGUGUUCUGUCACAGCCACAAAACCUGCCCCCUAAGCCCCACUGUUGACCACAAGAUGUUUUUGUGAGCAAAGUCAAUGCUUGCAUCAUGAUGCUGGCUCUUCUCAUUUUUUUUAAAUUAAGGCUAAUUAAUGUGAGUUAAAUAAAUAAACAAGAAGAGCCUUGAUUUCCAAAGGUGUGAUAUUUUAUCACAGCUUCAAGCGAUGCUGCAUUUGAAAAAAAGAAUUAGUAUCUUGUGAGAUUGGCCACACAUUAUUGAGUAAGUAACAGCAGCUAAGUGAAACAGAUGAAAUAUUGGUAAGCGAUGCAGCCCACAGUAUAAGUAUGUGAAGGGGGUCAAAGGUUAAUCCCUAUUGAUUUUCCGAGUCUGCGUACAGCACCACUGGGAAAGGCCGGUUCUGUUGGCAAUCAGCUAGCACAAAUACAUUAUAAAUCUUACUGUCUGCCUUCACCGAUCAGUGUCACUUACUUCCUUUGCUAAAGACCAUUAAGAAACUACCAAAAAAAAAAAAAAAAAUUCUACGCAGAUGCCGGCAAAAAGAAAAGUAUUAAAAAAAAAAAAAAUCUUCCAUGUCAGCCAAUGCUUCUGCAGACGGGAGACUUUUCAUGAAAGCGGAGGCACACCUCACUGAGACCCGUCUCUUCCAAGUAAAGUGACAUGCAACUUUCUUGAGAGUAAAUCCAUUUCAAAGAAUAAAGACAGAGUAUUUUUCAAAUGACCUUCAACAUCAAAUCAAAAAGGUAAAAGUAUCUUUUACAUUUGGGUGCAUUUUUAAAAAAUAGAAGAAAAGCAGUCUAACACACUCAUGCAUAUCGAGAGCCAUCUCCAACUUGACUUUGCAAAAUAUGGCAUAACCUUGAAGCCAACAAAAGGUAGGUUGAAGAGGCCCUUCAUGUCUAGGGACCCCUUCCAGUAUUCCACACUAAAUGUUUGACUCCUUUUCUUAAAGUGGGCCCACAACAUGCAUAGAUCUCAGUGCCCCAAAAUCUUGACGCCCACUUCUACGAACAGAUAUGAAUGACUGUUUCUUUUUCAUGCCUUUUAACAGAUUGUACCAUGUGUAUUUUAUGUGCCUGGCCCUCUUGCUAGACACAGGAAGGCAGAUGAGUGAGAUAGAUCCUUCCCAAGAAAAAUGAAACAUACGUUCUGCGUCUUAUCGUUGACUCUCGUACAACAAGGUCCUGAGAAACAGUCUUAGCGCCAAUAAGUGCUCUGCCACUUACCAGCUUUUUAACACCCAGUUGAUUACUUCAACUCUCUAAGCCUCAGUUUCUCUGCCUGGGAAAUCAGGAUAAUUAUAGUAGCCACUUCAUAGAAUGGUCAGGAAAUUAGAAAUCACAUGCAAAGCACUUAGCACAGGGCCCAGUAAGUAUUCAAUAAAUACUGGUUAAUUUUUCUUAAAUAAUGGAGUUAUUUGGCUAGGCAAGGCAGCUCACGCCUGUCAUCCCAGCACUUUCGGAGGCCAAGGCAGUCAGAUCACCUGAAGUGAGGAGUUCGAGGCCAGCAUGGCUAACAUGGUGAAACCUGGUGUCUAACUAAAAAUACAAAAAUUAGCCAGCUAUGGUGGUGCAUGCCUGUAGUCCUGACUACUACGGAGGCCGAGGAAGGAGAAUCGACAGAGGUUGCAGUGAGCCAAGAUCGCGCCACUGCACUCUAGCCUGGCCAAAAGAGCAAGACUCUGUCUCAAAAAAUAAUAAAAAAAAUUAUGGAGUUAUUUGACAUUGGGAUAAAAAGCAAGUGACCUCCUUCAACCUCUGCUUCACUAAUGAGGGCUGUGGAACUGUGAUGUAAAAAGACAUGAAGCCAUCUGACCCACCAUUCCACCUAAAUAAAUGUAUAAUAUCCACCUAUUCCCCAGAAUAGGUGGGACCAUAACAAGCACAUUCUAAGUUAUUCUUUAGAAACAGAUUUCUUAAGUCCUUGAAAUGUGUAUGAAAGCAAAACCUAUCAGAAAUGCAGACAGCUAGGCAGCUCAGCCUUAACCAAGGAUGUGAGAAAGUUACGAAAUCUUUGGGUAAGGAAAGGUUCUCUCUCUGCAGAAAAGUUAUUUAUUUUAUUUUAAAGCUCCAGCCCCAAGAAGAUUAAUAGAAAAGGUUCAUAGAUAUGUGUUAUGUCUUCACAGUUUUCACAAACACAGCUCUUAUCACAUCCACAGUACACAUGCAGGCGCGCGCACACACACACACACACACACACACACACACACACACACACUUCCCUUGCCCUGAGCAAAAGUCAUAGCAUUCUUGAAACAGUUCUGGCAAAUACAGCCAAAUUGUUGGGAAAACAUUCUUUUUUUUUUUCACAAUUCCAUCAACUAGGCUCAGUGUACCACGUGCUGAUAUCAGGAUGUACUUGAAAAUAUUUUAAAUCCCUUUAAAUUAAGGGGUGGUGGGAGGUGAGGGAUGACUCUCCCAGGGCUAAUGAUAAACAAACGAACAUCCUGCAAAGUUCCCAUCAAAACUUCAGCAUCUAUGCCAUGACUCUUUCAAUCAAUGACUUUUUUCCCCAUUUAUGAAACCUUUUAUUUCAGGAUUUUCACCUCUAUUGAAAGGAUAUCCUUCUAGUAGGCAGAGGAUAAACAGAGUAGACCUCAGCUGAGCACUGAAAACCAAGAGAGACAGAGGCCACAGAGUCUUUUUAAAAUCCAAGAGGCUCCAAGCUGCUUUGAACUGUCUUGAGUUGAUGGAAGUACGCUUUCAUCAGUUAGAAAAAUUAAGGGCAUACGCCUCAAAAGAUGUCUACUUAUUUACAAAUUAUAAACUUGGAUCAUUCUAUUAGCUACUACCUCCAGGAAUGGUAUAGGUUAAAGCAAUGUUCAUCUUUAAAAAUAAUGCAUGCAAUUUCAAAUUUCUCUUUGCUAAUUUAGAUUUUUGUUUUUCCAUUGACCACUUCUGAUCAAACUGUGAUUGUGUUUACUUUGCACAAGAUGAAGGGCUUUUAUUAGGAGUAGGUGAAGUACCAAUCCUGCUCUUUUCUUACUAUUUGCUAUUCUAAGAACUAUAUCCAAACACUGAUCUUUUUGCACAAAUGUUUGUAAGUCUCUUGUUCAUUCUGUGACGGUUGCUUUAGUUCAGACCACAUAAUCUGAUGUCUCAAUCCAUCCAACUAAGCACACAUGCAAAACUACAAUACAUUUCAAAGCUAAAGUCCACAAGGAGCAAAGGUUCCAACAUGGACCCUCUCCCUGGGGAAAUGGCCAGCCUGACUUUGGAAUGUACUGCAUACUGCACACAAUUCCUGACCAUCAGAGGACUGGAGAGGGUACCUGUGUCAGUGCAUCUGUGUACUAUCUGUAAAAAAUAACAUUUUUAAAUUGAGAGCCAAUAUGCUUACAUUGAAAAGUACGGGACCCUGAAAGUGGCUACUGAGCUGGAAUCCCUACUCUGCCACCUCUUUUCUUAGCACAUCUCUUUCCUCAUCUGUGAAAUAUGGACAACAAUAGUCCUAUUUCAAAGAAUAUUUGAAAGGACAGUACAUGUAAAUAUAUGCAAAACACUUAAAACAGUACCUGCCACCCAAUAAAUGUGUUGAGAUGUUUAAUAAUAAAUGAAAGAGUUUAAUGGAUAAACAGAAGUUAUAAUGUUUCCUCUCGGAACCCAAGUGGUUCAUCCUUCACACUUUGGGGACUAAUGCUUUAAAGCAGAUGUAUCCAAAAGAGCAUUCUACUAUGGUAGAAAUGUUCUAUAUCGGUGCUACCCAAUAUGGUAGCCAAUAACCACAUCUGGCUACUGAAGAUUUGAAAUGUGGCUGCUAUUUCAGAGCAAUUGAACUUUUAAUUUUAAUUAAUUUACAUUUUAAUAGUCACACGUGGCUACCAUAUUGGACAGUGAAGCUCCAGAAGCUUCACUAUUUCUGACACUCCAUAGGACCCAGCACAAUUCUGUAAUCCACCUAGUUGCCUUCGAGAAGGUAUGACUGCUUCAGUGAGAACAAGCUAGCCUGAGUUUCUGGAGUGUAAAGCCAUGGAAUCCUCACCUUUACACUCCCUUUCUCUUGUCUCUUAGAUGCUCCAUUGUCAUUGGUUCCUCCUUCCCAGGAGGGGGCAGUGAACAAUGCAGCCCCGCUGGGUCAACAUUAUUGGAGGCCUCUACUUGGUGCCAGCCUCAGCCUGGCUUUCAUUCAUAGUUUGGGUCUUGAAUCUUAUCUUGGAAAACUCCAUGAAUCCUGCCUUUGACCACUGUCUAGACUCCCAGGCCAGAGGCUGUCACUAUAUUUCGUGUCCUGGCCCUUGUUCCCAAUUUGUAGAGGGCUGUCCAUAUUCUACAGAUGAACCUCCAUGUCAAUCAUUCCUAUAACAGUUUCCUCCUUGGAGGCAACGAGAGCAGUGACAGUCUAUUCUAGGGAAUGGGACAUGUCUUAUCUCCAUUUUCACUAUGAAAAUAUCUUAUUCUAUACCAUCAUGCCACAAAGUGACUUCAUUCAAAAACCAUAAUCUUCACAGUACUACCAUAUUUGCAUCUAAAGUUACUUGGUAAAUCAUAAAGUCCAAAUAAACUAUAGUUAUAAAUAAAAAGCUUUAAAACAUUACAAUGAAAGCAUUCUCUAAACCCAACCUCCUCUCAGGCUGAGUUAGGUCUUUGCUUCUAUCAAAAUUAUUUGCAUAUGUUUUAAUCUUUCUCUCUAGAUAAUAAGAUCCUGGAAGGCUUGACUGAUACAAAUUCAUAUCCAUAUCCUUACUGUCUGAAGUGGUGCCAGACACAUAGUAGGUAUUCAAUACGUAUUGGAUGAAGUUACACAGUGAUGGAGAAUAUGUUAAUCCAAACAGAAAGAAAACAAAACACCUUUCUCUGCUUUCCAAGAUGUAUGUUUAUUUUUUUUUCCUUUUCCAAAUACUCCUACAUUCAGGAAAACAGUAAUGCUAAAUCUGACUUACUUAUAUUUUAGGAAGCCUGGAUAUCUAAAUUGGUGAUUCCUACAGUCAUGGCAAUAUGCCUUGUUGAUCAUAAUACAGAUUAUCAACUUCUACAGAAUGACAAAAUCAAAGGAGAAAAGGGGCCAUGAUGGAAAUAUCAAAACCAAAUUAAAUACUGGAAAUGAGUUAAUGAAAUUAUACUACAGAUUCAGCUUAUUCAGAAAGGGCUUGUCCAAGGAAAGGGGAGAGAAAAAAUAAAUAAAUAAAAAAUAAAUUUAAAAAACCCUCACCACCAGAACCAGCUGUCUAGUUUGAACUGCUAGAUUGCUGAGCACAUACUGUAUGCAUAUUCAUAAGGACCACAGGAAAUUAAGCACCUUUGGAGCCUGCAUUAAAACUCUUUCCUGCCAGCCAGUGCAGUGAACCAGUAACUCAACGGCACCCUUGUGGCCUGGAAUAAUUAAUGCAGCUUCCAAAGGUGGGAAGGCUUUCCUUGGGGUGGGGGGUGCAACAGCAAGGUGGGCAUGGAGCUUCGAGAGAGGAGAGUAGGCUGCCAAGCCAUUUGUUCUUAGUGUGUUACACCUGGCCCUGUUUUGUGGAAGGGAGGGAAAUACGUCAUUAUCAUCGCUUUUUCUUUCCGGAGUCUGAAAAGGAACCCCGGGGUGGUAAAUAUGGCCAUUCAUGCUAACAUUGGCUUAAGGAAGAACCAGAUCAAAUGAGCUCAGUUAUUUACAUUUAAAAACAUCAUUUAAGGGAAUUUUAAACCGUCUGAGAAGAUGGAUACACUGUGUUUGUUUUCUACAUUAAUGAGCUAUAAAAAGAAUGGAAUAGGCCAUAAAUACAGUAUUUUGUAACAGCCUUUACUAAAAAUGCUACUACUUGUAUUUAUCAUUUAUAUCCUUGUAUACAACCUCAAAAUUGAUUACACUUUAAACCGUACAUACCUUGCUGUGUUUUUCAUUCUGUGCUAUACUACAAACAUUUUUAUAACUCAGUUAAUAUAUUCCAUAUUUUGUGUUCUUAUUGAUUACGAAUAUUUCUUUAGGGGAUUUUAUUGCUUUUAAAAUAACAAAUGUUAGGUAUUAAAAAAUAGAAAAACCUAUUGCAGCUUUUAUAUUUUUCUUUCCCCUGGUAAUUCUAAUACACACAUUUUAGCACGAACAUAACCAGAAUAUCUUUUUCCAUAUCUUUUAUACUUCCUCCCACUAAUAUUAUAAAUCCACUAAUACAGUACAUAGUAAAAGAAUCAGAUUUUUUGGAUGAAACCCACCAUUUAAUGUGUUUGACUUGAAUUCAUAAUUCUCUCCUUCUACAAUUAAAAAAUUAAAGUGCUAAAAGAUUAUCCGCACGUAACAUGGUUUUACAUCAAGUAUAUAUUAUCUUUCCUAAUUGCCAUUUCAGUUUAUAGGCUAAAAUAUGAUUUAUAUAUAUGAUAUGAUUUCACUAUUAAUUAUCAAAUUGAAAAAAAAUAAAAUCUCACAUUAGAAAUUCUCCCCUGGAAAUUAGUUUUAUUAUUUUUUCCAUAAUCCUAUCACACAAGCUAUAAGUGCAUUGCGGCAUGAACACUUUAAUUUUUCCAGUUAGUUUUAAGCAAGCCCAGAGGUGAGGUUUAAUAAGGAUCAAUGGCACUUUAUCUGGGACAGGGCCUCUUCACAGCAUGCAAAUUACACAGUAACACUUAAAAAAAGAAAUAGAUUUAAUUAAAAAAAAAGUAGAACCACAGGCUCUGGAAAUUCAAUUAAAGGAUUUAUGCAAAGGUUUGCUAGGUUUUUAUAUGCGGUUACUGCUUACAUAAUGAGCUUUUCAUAUUAAAAAUCAAUAGGUAAUCUAGACUAGAAGAUCAUCCCCUUAAAUACAUUUUUGAAAUCAAUUUGAAAAAUAGUCCAUCAACUGCUGUGACUACUCUUGCUGCUUCGAUUACACUAAAAGCAAUAUUUAGAUUGUAAGACGUGCUAUGGAAUAUCUAUGCUUAGAUAUUGCUUUCAAGGGCUCUUAUGCUUUUGAGUGCCUAAGAUGAUCACCUGGUAAUUCAAGAUUGUGUUAAAUGUAUAAAUAAUUUAUUUAAUUACCAACAAAAGCGCAGACACAAUCCCAUCGUAUUUAUAAUGUUAAAUAAAAGGGUGAAAAAGAGGAAAGAGGGAACUGAAGGAGGAAGGACGGAAAGGAGAAGGGGGAGAGGGGAGAGAAGAGGGAGGAAGAAGAUGGGAAAUCAGGAAGGGAGGGAAGGAAAAAGAAAAACGAACAAAACAACCUUUUCUAAAUUAGUCUUUCCUAUCUCAAUUGCCUAUUGUGUUGGCUACUUAGCCCUUAGAGAUAUGCAUUUCACUUUAAAACUCAUUUAGGUCUUCAACUGAAGAAGCAAUUAGCUAGCUUAUAAUUUAAGCAGACUUUUCAUCCUCUGUGAUCAUGGGGGACGGGUCUUGAAAUGAAAACGAAAGUCGAUGCUCCAGUUCUUUUUUUUUUUAAUAUGUAUUUUUUAUUAUAUUUUCAGUUCUAGGGUACAUGUGCACAACGUGCAGGUUUGUUACAUAUGUAGACAUGUGCUGUGUUGGUGUGCUGCACCCAUUAACUCGUCAUUUACAUUAGGUAUAUCUCCUAAUGCUAUCCCUCUCCCCUCCCCGCACCCCACAACAGGCCCCGGUGUGUGAUGUUCCCCUUCCUGUGUCCAACUGUUCUCAUUGUUCAAUUCCCACCUAUGAGUGAGAACAUGCGGUGUUUGGUUUUUUGUCCUUGCAACAGUUUGCUGAGAAUGAUGGUUUCCAGCUUCAUCCACCCAAGUGGGCGAAGGAUAUGAUCAGACACUUCUCAAAAGAAGACAUUUAUGCAGCCAACAGACACAUGAAACAAUGCUCAUCAUCACUGGCCAUCAGAGAAAUGCAAAUCAAAACCACAAUGAGAUACCAUCUCACACCAGUUAGAUGCUCCAGUUCUAUCCAGUAGCUUCACCACCUGUAUCACAGGCAAGAUUUGCCUGGAUUUGGUAACAAUUAGAACACCAGAUGGGAUUCCAGGGGCAAUUCCUGUCAAACUGGGGAGUGAUCAUUUUACAGAGGAAGCAUGAGUAAGGAGUUGGGGUGGCGGAGCUGGAGGAAAGAAAAACCUAGGUAGGUCCAAAUCCAAACUCUUCUCAUUACCAUAAUAAAUUAAUAAGAGACACAUUCUUUAAUACCUCUUUGUCCAGGUUCUAAUUUUUAAAAGGUAGAGUUUUAAAAUGUAAUCGCAGCAUUUUGGGAGGUUGAGGUGGGCAGAUCAUUUGAAUUCAGGAGUUCAAGACCAGCCUGGCUAACAUGGUGAAACGCGUCUCUACUAAAAAUGCAUAAAAUUAGCCGGUGUGGUGGCACAUGCCUGUAAUCCCAGCUACUGGGGAGGCUGAGACAUCAGAAUCACUUGAACCCAGAAGGUGUAGGUUGCAGUGAGCCGAGAUCAUGUCACUGCACUCCAGCCUGGGUAACAGACGCUGUCUUAAAUGAAAUGAACUAAAAUAAAAAUAUAAACUAAAAAAGUAGAGUGAGUACUCAUUGUCCAUCAAGAUGAAAGUCAUGGCUCUAGUUAUCUUCAACCCAAGUCAGCCUUAUUAAAAUAGGUCUAAACUUUAUAAAGGACCACCUUAUAACAAACCAACACCUUAUUCUCUUCUGCAAAACUCUGGGAAAAAAACUAAGCAAAAUAUUUACAAAUCCCAGUUUAUCCAUCUACCAAAAGCUCCUAUCUCAGCAACACUAAUAUUUUAAGAAGGUGCUGAUGCAGCCAAUCUGGGUGAACAAGGAGAGCCCAAAACAGCACAAGGAGGUCCCUGCUCUCAAUACACAGGGAGGAGAAGAUAAAGAUGAAGAAGCAGCAGCAGCUUCCAGCAUCAGAGAAAUCAAUGAUGUCCACAUUAUGAUUUCUAAAGCAGAACUCUAGACAUAUCCUAUUAAUGAGCCAGCCUUUGUUUUGCAUGUCCCUACAGCUAUAUUGAGGGAGAGUUUAAGAACCAAGUAAUGAGCAGUGGUUUUAUCAGUCACAGAUUUAUGCACCUGACAAACACAUUUAGAAUGCCUGGCUAUGUUAGCACUGUUAGUGGCUCUUGGUGGCUACAAAGAUGAAUCUCAUAAACCUGGCGUGCCUAAAUAAAUUAAAUAUUUUUGUACAUAUGUUUACUCAUUUUGAAAAAUGUAUUUGUAAGAAAAAACAAGGAACUGAAAAAUUAGGUGCAGUAUCUUGAAAACAUGAUGCAUGCAAAGUGAAAGGACCACUCACAAAGAACCACAUAUCGUGUGAGCCCAUUAAUGAGAAAUGUCCAGAAUAUACAAACGCAUGGAGAUGAAGAGCAGACUAGCGGUUCGCAGAGGCUGGGGAAGAGUUGAAGUGGAGAAUGGGAGGUAAAAAAUAUGGGGUGCAGGCUUUCUCCUUCAGGUAAGAAAACUGACUGUGGCAAUGGUUGCACAACUCUGAAUAGACUGAGCCAUUGAAUUGUACACUUUAAAUGCAUGAAUUGUAUAGCAUGUAAAUUAUCUCUCAAUAAAGCUGUUAUAAAAAAUAAA